rnacentral:rRNA from 1 species
GAUGAACGCUGGCGGCGUGCCUAAUACAUGCAAGUCGAGCGAACGGACGAGAAGCUUGCUUCUCUGAUGUUAGCGGCGGACGGGUGAGUAACACGUGGAUAACCUACCUAUAAGACUGGGAUAACUUCGGGAAACCGGAGCUAAUACCGGAUAAUAUUUUGAACCGCAUGGUUCAAAAGUGAAAGACGGUCUUGCUGUCACUUAUAGAUGGAUCCGCGCUGCAUUAGCUAGUUGGUAAGGUAACGGCUUACCAAGGCAACGAUGCAUAGCCGACCUGAGAGGGUGAUCGGCCACACUGGAACUGAGACACGGUCCAGACUCCUACGGGAGGCAGCAGUAGGGAAUCUUCCGCAAUGGGCGAAAGCCUGACGGAGCAACGCCGCGUGAGUGAUGAAGGUCUUCGGAUCGUAAAACUCUGUUAUUAGGGAAGAACAUAUGUGUAAGUAACUGUGCACAUCUUGACGGUACCUAAUCAGAAAGCCACGGCUAACUACGUGCCAGCAGCCGCGGUAAUACGUAGGUGGCAAGCGUUAUCCGGAAUUAUUGGGCGUAAAGCGCGCGUAGGCGGUUUUUUAAGUCUGAUGUGAAAGCCCACGGCUCAGCCGUGGAGGGUCAUUGGAAACUGGAAAACUUGAGUGCAGAAGAGGAAAGUGGAAUUCCAUGUGUAGCGGUGAAAUGCGCAGAGAUAUGGAGGAACACCAGUGGCGAAGGCGACUUUCUGGUCUGUAACUGACGCUGAUGUGCGAAAGCGUGGGGAUCAAACAGGAUUAGAUACCCUGGUAGUCCACGCCGUAAACGAUGAGUGCUAAGUGUUAGGGGGUUUCCGCCCCUUAGUGCUGCAGCUAACGCAUUAAGCACUCCGCCUGGGGAGUACGACCGCAAGGUUGAAACUCAAAGGAAUUGACGGGGACCCGCACAAGCGGUGGAGCAUGUGGUUUAAUUCGAAGCAACGCGAAGAACCUUACCAAAUCUUGACAUCCUUUGACAACUCUAGAGAUAGAGCUUUCCCCUUCGGGGGACAAAGUGACAGGUGGUGCAUGGUUGUCGUCAGCUCGUGUCGUGAGAUGUUGGGUUAAGUCCCGCAACGAGCGCAACCCUUAAGCUUAGUUGCCAUCAUUAAGUUGGGCACUCUAAGUUGACUGCCGGUGACAAACCGGAGGAAGGUGGGGAUGACGUCAAAUCAUCAUGCCCCUUAUGAUUUGGGCUACACACGUGCUACAAUGGACAAUACAAAGGGCAGCGAAACCGUGAGGUCAAGCAAAUCCCAUAAAGUUGUUCUCAGUUCGGAUUGUAGUCUGCAACUCGACUACAUGAAGCUGGAAUCGCUAGUAAUCGUAGAUCAGCAUGCUACGGUGAAUACGUUCCCGGGUCU